UAGAAACACGCAGAAACCAUUCUAAAGAAAGUAGUGAUCUUGUAUUAAAUUGAGCAGAAUUCUCACAGAUUUUACCAUUCCUGUUAUAAACUAGUAUUUGUUGUUUAGCCAAAACAGAAAAUGAUUUCCACUGGACAGUAGAAAAAUAUGUGUAAAAUAGGGAAGAAAGUUAGUAUUGGAUCAGUGUGAGUCCUGAAGCACUUUCAGUGCUGUGAGAACGACAUCCACUUUGGGUUUCAUUCGUUUGUAAGCAGAGGAGCUGUCAGUCACUCGUGCUUCUCGGUGGCCUCUGAGCCAUGGUGUCGAGUGAAGAGUAGUUCUUGUUUGUUACAACCUUUGUGAGUCAGCCAUGCC
rnacentral:lncRNA from 1 species